rnacentral:rRNA from 1 species
UGGGGAAUAUUGCACAAUGGGCGCAAGCCUGAUGCAGCCAUGCCGCGUGUGUGAAGAAGGCCUUCGGGUUGUAAAGCACUUUCAGCGUGGAGGAAGGCGAUAAGGUUAAUAACCUUGUCGAUUGACGUUACCCGCAGAAGAAGCACCGGCUAACUCCGUGCCAGCAGCCGCGGUAAUACGGAGGGUGCAAGCGUUAAUCGGAAUUACUGGGCGUAAAGCGCACGCAGGCGGUCUGUCAAGUCGGAUGUGAAAUCCCCGGGCUUAACCUGGGAACUGCAUUCGAAACUGGCAGGCUAGAGUCUUGUAGAGGGGGGUAGAAUUCCAGGUGUAGCGGUGAAAUGCGUAGAGAUCUGGAGGAAUACCGGUGGCGAAGGCGGCCCCCUGGACAAAGACUGACGCUCAGGUGCGAAAGCGUGGGGAGCAAACAGG